ncrna:unclassified sequences RT-2 RNA
CGGCCAGUAUUAAAGUAGGUUUGCUGGGCUAAUCAAUAGGCAGACCGAAAUCCGAGCCUUAUCAUCAUUGGAAGGAGUUAUCGACCCUCCCGCAGUAGCGGGUAAAUAGGUAUCUUGACGCGAUCAGCCGGACGCUUCUUGCAUGGCCCGUGACGGCGACAACAGGCUAAACUACCGUGCGCCACACGGCAGAUGGCCGAGUACCGGGUUUCAUGGCUGGUAUCGCAAAGAAGUACACAACAGCGCCCCUACAAUAACACUUUGCGAGGUACAUUCCGAGAUGACAUCACAA